UUCUGAUUUAGAAUUACCUUUUCUUUACCCCACUAUAAGCGAGAAAACAAGUUUGUUGCCUAAGUUAUUCGUUUUCAGGCUACGGAUAACUGCUCUCCGACACUUGAUUUGCUGUGGGAGGAAAAGCGCCGACAAGCAAACGAGGCAGCUGAAAUGGCGUAAACCAGGUGAGAUGUAAUUAAUGCUGAACAACUUCAUCUUGAUGAGCUGUUAAUUAAAGUCGUCCGUUGGCCACUGCGAAGACAACCUAAGCCGCUUAGAGUGAACAAGCCAGCGUGACUAUUAUUUCGCCAAAUAAAAAGUGCUGCAAAAUGGAAACGUCGCAGAAUUUGUCAUUAUUCGCUAAAUACAGCUCACAGCGAAGUGGAAUGGAAGGAAUACGGGGAAAGUGUGUUCAAAGUCACUGCUGUUCUGGGCUCGAUCUCUAAUUGGCCGCCGAUAUCUUUUUUUCGAGAGCCACUUCUGGGCUUUGGCCAUCGGACAUUUACCAUUGUUGGCGGAGGCCACCGGGCCACCGGCUUAGCAACGCUCCAGUGACACAGAUAUUACCGUGAUUGGCACGAAAUUCAUUUUGGACUAUGACCGAUUCGAGAAACCGCACGACCCAUUGCAAAAGUCUGGCCCGAAGAGAAACUAUGUGGCAUCUGUCUUGGCCCAGAAAAACCACAGUGCCAAGUACCCAGUGGCACUGGCUGCAUGUAAUUGCGACUAAAUCUAGGCAUUUAAAUCACAUUUCCAGUCAGCAGCCGGUGUCGAUCCUCUGAUCCUUUUCAACCAACAAGUGCUGCCACACAGCUGCCGGUAUUGCCAACCGCAAAUUACGAAGCAAAUGAAUUGGCGAGCAAAAAACGUGAAUGCAAAGAGCUGCUGGAGAAAAAAAGGGUUUUGCGGCGGAACCUCUAUAAUUUACCCUAUGCACCCUAAACCGCAACAGAUUGCAAAUUGCGGGCUAAAGUCGGCUCAAGACCUAGGACCACUCACUCAAUAUGUCGUGUGCGUGGGCGACGAGAGUUAAACGCUGCCAAAGAUACUAGAUCAACAGAAAGGGUUUUCGAACUUGAAAGAGGAAUUUAUUUAAAUCAAUUUAUAUUCUUAUUUUUCAUAUUCCUAGACAAAGUCUAGAAAUUAAAUUCAACAAAUUAAAUUUCACCCUUUUUUGUUCAUUGCUAAAAACUCCAUGUCUUUCAAGUACUGAUCAACUUUCAUUGCCUCUCCCCAAUUGGCGUUUCCCCGCAACCAUAUAUUAAGUAUUCACAGUUCAGUCCUAAUGAAGUGACAACAACCAUAACUAAGUGGGCGUUGAGGAUUUUUAUUUGAUUUUAUUGUUUCUGGCGAACGUGCCAAAAGCUAACAGUUAAUCUGGGGCCACAGUUUCCUCCCCUCGAAGGCACGGGCAUGGCAAAUUAAAUCAAAUGAAAAGUCAAACCCAUAAACACAUGCUACGCGGCAGUGAAGCACCCACAUUUAGCCUGCUCUUCGAUUUCCACCCUCUUGGAAAACAGUUGCGAGGGUUGCCAAGCGAAACCCACCCAUCGAAUGGGCCAGAAACAAUUGCGAUACAUUUUGGCUAAAUUUAUGCACCCCUUUUCACCUUACACUUGUCAUUUUUUACGGCCCACCGAUGCGAGGGGUGCCGCCAAGUGGUAAAAAACGGGGCUGAGCUCACUGCGGUAAUUUGAGCGGAUCAAGCCGACUGCUGAUACUCCCAGGCUAAUGCCACUAAAUGACCUCAAAGCCGCUCAUCGAUAUAUCACUUUAUUUAGUGUCGGAUUCAAUUUGGCGGGAUUUACUUAUUUCGAACAGUUGUGGGUGGCUUUGAACGGAUUUCCCAGCGAUUUGUGCCAACAGACUGACUAACAAUUACUUUCAUUAAGGCAGCAUCAGAUGAUCUCCGAAAAGUAAAAAUUGCCCCAACGAGAAACCAACAAAAUGAGUGAGACAUUUAUUUUAAUGUCCAAAUUACAAAGCCAGCAAGAAAUGCGGUACAUUUUUCCAAAUACCAAGUGUAACAAUCCGAAACUCGAAAUUUUCCUUUUA